AUUGAACGCUGGCGGCAUGCUUUACACAUGCAAGUCGAACGGUAACAGGCCGCCAGGUGCUGACGAGUGGCGAACGGGUGAGUAAUGCAUCGGAACGUGCCCAGUCGUGGGGGAUAACUACUCGGAAGAGUAGCUAAUACCGCAUACGAUCUAUGGAUGAAAGCGGGGGACCGUAAGGCCUCGCGCGAUUGGAGCGGCCGAUGUCAGAUUAGGUAGUUGGUGGGGUAAAGGCUCACCAAGCCAACGAUCUGUAGCUGGUCUGAGAGGACAACCAGCCACACUGGGACUGAGACACGGCCCAGACUCCUACGGGAGGCAGCAGUGGGGAAUUUUGGACAAUGGGCGCAAGCCUGAUCCAGCAAUGCCGCGUGCAGGAAGAAGGCCUUCGGGUUGUAAACUGCUUUUGUACGGAACGAAACGGCUCUGGUUAAUACCCGGGGCUAAUGACGGUACCGUAAGAAUAAGCACCGGCUAACUACGUG
rnacentral:rRNA from 1 species